UACGUAGGGGGCAAGCGUUGUCCGGAAUCAUUGGGCGUAAAGAGCGUGUAGGCGGUUCGGUAAGUCGGUGGUGAAAUCCUGGAGCUCAACUCCAGAACUGCCUUCGAUACUGGGAGUCUCGAGUUCGGGAGAGGUGAGUGGAACUGCGAGUGUAGAGGUGAAAUUCGUAGAUAUUCGCAAGAACACCAGUGGCGAAGGCGGCUCACUGGCCCGAUACUGACGCUGAGGCACGAAAGCGUGGGGAGCAAACAGG
rnacentral:rRNA from 1 species